GUCGCUUUGGCCGAGUGGUUAAGGAGUGUGCCUGCUAAGUACAUGGGGUUUUCCCGCGAGAGUUCGAAUCUCCAGGCGACG
rnacentral:tRNA from 1 species